rnacentral:misc_RNA from 1 species
UCCCCGUUGCCGGGGCAGUCUAGCUAGAGAAAUUCAACUAGCUAUAAGGGUUGCGCUCGUUAAUGGACUUAACCAAACAUCUCACGACACGAGCUGACGACGGCCAUGCAACACCUGUCAUCGGGUUCCAAAAGGCACUCUCUACUUUCGAAGAGAUUCCCGAGAUGUCAAACCCUGGUAAGGUUCUUCGCUUAGCCUCGAAUUAAACAACACGCUCCACCGCUUGUGCGGGUCCCCGUCAAUUCCUUUAUGUUUUAGUCUUGCGACCGUACUCCACAGGCGGGAUGCUUAACGCGUUAGCUUCGCUACUACGAGGGUCGAUACUCAUAACAGCUAGCAUCCAUCGUUUACAGCGUGGACUAC